CUCAGCCCGGCUCUCUCCCAGGGCUGGCUUUUGAGCCCCACGGAGCUGGAGAGAGUGUCUGUGUGUCUACUUGGGCUGCCUAGCUGGCUCUUCCUUUCUGGCUGCCCUGGGCUGUUGCUGCUGGCUGGAGCUCUCUCCUUCCUCAGAGGACUGCUGCUGUUGCUGAGGAGCUGCUGGAUCCUGGAGCAGGAAGAGGACUAAUAGGACCAUUGGUUGCUGGGGGAGUGUACGGAGACUCUGGAGACCACUGUGGAGGGACCAAUAAGGAGGAGGUUGACACUGUGCAAUCCUUACCAAAAAUCGUCAGUGAGUGAAUUCUGGGUCUCCAGGACUGAAAACAAGAGACACUGUCUUUUCUUACCCAUGGAGAGUCAAGCUAUGUCUUUUUGCCAAUAGCUAUGAGGAGUAAAAUCAAUUUCUUUGAUGUCCAUGACUUGGAGUCACUAUUUGGGAAAAAGAUUUGUAAUGCAAAACUGGCAGCAACUGUUUCACUAUAGAGAUCCUUAGAAUUAUAAAAAUCACGUUUGUGUUUUAAAAUGUUAGAGGAACACAGAUAUGGUUCCUACAGUCAAACUGAAGUUCCCCUGAGGAAAGACAAGGAGAAGAUCAGAUGUGGUUUAUUUUACUAUGGGAGCUGGGGGAGAAAACCUUUCAGAGAGUUUGGUACAUAGGUAUAAACACACAGUGCAGCUAGUCCAAUGAGAUAUUGAGUGCCCUCAACUGCCACUGAGGUGGGGAUGCCCAGCGCCUUGCAGGAUCAUGUUUUUAUAAUUAUCUACUGUAGAGUCAGUUCUUGGACCUUGCAAAUUGGGUGAACAUCUGGAUUUUGUCACUGGUGCCAAAAAUGUAGUUUAGACUCUGAUCACGCAUUUUAAGGACAAACAGUUCAAUAUCCUUGGAAGAGCAAAGCUGCUUCUUGUCCCAAAACAUUCAAAUUCUCCUAUGUGUUACUUCCAUUUCAUGGGUUAAAGACAGCACAAAGUGAAUAAUCUUGUGAUUUAAUAACCUGAACCCCAAACACUGAAGGCACCUAAUGUGUUCAUUUGAAAUUGACAUCUUACCCUUGGAAACUGCACAUUUCUAAAGAGCAA